rnacentral:rRNA from 1 species
UACGGAGGGAGCUAGCGUUGUUCGGAAUUACUGGGCGUAAAGCGUGCGCAGGCGGCUAUGCAAGACAGAUGUGAAAUCCCCCGGGCUCAACCUGGGAACUGCAUUUGUGACUGCAUGGCUAGAGUGCGGCAGAGGGGGAUGGAAUUCCGCGUGUAGCAGUGAAAUGCGUAGAUAUGCGGAGGAACACCGAUGGCGAAGGCAAUCCCCUGGGCCUGCACUGACGCUCAUGCACGAAAGCGUGGGGAGCAAACAGG